rnacentral:rRNA from 1 species
GAUGAACGCUGGCGGCGUGCCUAAUACAUGCAAGUCGAGCGAACAGACGAGGAGCUUGCUCCUCUGACGUUAGCGGCGGACGGGUGAGUAACACGUGGAUAACCUACCUAUAAGACUGGGAUAACUUCGGGAAACCGGAGCUAAUACCGGAUAAUAUAUUGAACCGCAUGGUUCAAUAGUGAAAGACGGUUUUGCUGUCACUUAUAGAUGGAUCCGCGCCGCAUUAGCUAGUUGGUAAGGUAACGGCUUACCAAGGCAACGAUGCGUAGCCGGCCUGAGAGGGUGAUCGGCCACACUGGAACUGAGACACGGUCCAGACUCCUACGGGAGGCAGCAGUAGGGAAUCUUCCGCAAUGGGCGAAAGCUUGACGGAGCAACGCCGCGUGAGUGAUGAAGGUCUUCGGAUCGUAAACCUCUGUUAUUAGGGAAGAACAAAUGUGUAAGUAACUAUGCACGUCUUGACGGUACCUAAUCAGAAAGCCACGGCUAACUACGUG